UGAGGGGUGGAGUAGCUGGCGGGCUGGGCUGGGUUGAGCGCGCCCUCGGGGGGCAGGGAAGCCCACGUUGCUGAGGGGACAGGCUGCUGUGCUUGAGGCGGGAUAGACGGAGCCUGGCUCUGCCUCAAAGGCGCCCUCAUGGCAGGGAGGCCGCGAUUUGCCACAUCUGUCUGUCAGUCAGAGGGUGACCAGAUGUCCUGGUUUUAUAGGGACAGGCGCCAUAUGAAGGGCUUUGUCUUAUAUAGGUGCCUAUUGCCCUACCCCAUGUCCCGAUUUUUCACACUUGCUUGUGUAAUGUUGAUAACGACAUAGGUUCGAGGAAGCAAAGUGUGCUUAUUUGUGUUCUCCAUGAUUUUCCUUCUAAAAGUAUCUCGCAUGUCUCACACCCCCCCCCCAGAAAGGGCCUCUCGCACCCCCAAGGGGUGUGUGCACCCAAGGUUAAGAACCGCUGCACCCAACGGAUUCUCUAUGUGAUCGUGGGCAAGUCACUUGCAUCUCUGUAUAAUAGAGGCAAGUACCUCCCUGUCUUACAGAUACGUUGUGAGGAUACAUUCGUUAAUGGUUGUGAAGUGAUCAGUUACUACAGGGAUGGAGUCAGUACAGAUGUGGCCUUCAGGAACACCGGCCAAGUGUCUCCACCAGAUAAGAAAGUGCCCAGGACGGAGCAAAGAAGACAUGUUCUGGGAGGUACUGCACUUCUUCAAUCCGGAGAAAAGGGAACGCAAGGAGUGGAGGGAAUCCAAAAGGCAGGACAGAAAAGAAAAUCAGGAGUUUGUUAAGGACACAACUGAGUGGAUGAUUAAAGUAAUGGAGGAGCAAAUGCAGAUGCUGAAGUCCUUAAUAAUGCUGUAGACUGAGCAGACGCAUGCCUGCCCUCCCCUGCAGCACAUUCAGAACUCUUUUCUAUGCCCCUCCCAACUUCACCUGCACAGUCCUUUCCAUUUGCUGGGACUUCUCGGUUUCGUCUUCACUCCACCCCCUUGGACAGCUUUCACAAUGAUACCUGGACCUACACACAGCUCUGAAAGUCUGCCCUUGCCUGGUACCUCUUUCCCACCAAGUAUCUUUGUGUGUGUUUGAGUUGUUUCUUGUGCAAUAAAAACAAAGUUUUUUAA